GGAAUAACAACUUUAGAUCACCUAGAACGCAUUUGGCUCAACCCAGACAUAUGCACAAUCCUAAUGUCAUAUGUCAUUAUUGUAACCGGGUAGGACACAUUGCGCCCGUAUGUUUUGCUAAACAUAGAGAUUCAUAUUUUGAUUAUGAUUAGUAUUUGCCUAACCCCCAAGGACCCAAACGAAGUUGGGUACCGAAAACCUAUUUUUAGGUACUUUUGCAGGUGUGCUUGAAGACUACAAUAUUGUAGUAGAUGCACCAAGCACGAAACCUUACNUACGUUUGCAGGUGUGCUUGAAGACUACAAAAUCGUAGUAGAUGCACCAAGCACGAAACCUUAUUGCAUCAAGGGGGAAUUUCGGUUAGUUAUCGUAUGGUUGAUAAAAACGUAAUAGUUGAUAUGUGCUAACAAU
rnacentral:lncRNA from 1 species